rnacentral:snRNA from 1 species
CUAUCCAGCGAAACCACAGC